ACUUGCACUGUGGGUAUUUGCUUAAUGUUUAAAUGUGAAAGCUAUUGAUUGAAAGUUGGGAAUUGAAACUUUAUUGCAAGUAUCAUGCUUAAUUUUUAGACAGAAUAUUUUAUUUAAAUUGUUUAGUGAUUAAGAAGUUCUAGUGACUCAAGCUAUUCUACAUUUCAUUUUAGCUGAAAACUUUAAAUAAUUCAUUUUACCCAUUUCAUAUUUGAAUAGUUGAUUGUAUUAGUUUGGAAAGAAAGUCCUGUUGCAUUUCAUGGUGGGAAAGGCGCAAAUGAUUCUUUGGUCUUAAUUGAUGUAUUUAAUCACAAUAAUAUUUCCACUCAUUAUUGAUAGCAUAAUUCUGUCUAUUUGACAAAUUGUUGAUUUCUCAUCAGUAAAAUUCUUCAGAUUUUGAAGCAAAGAAGCACACAAUAUCAUUUUUAGCUUCAUCACAACUAAUAAACUGUUCUCCCUCUAAAUAAUGUUGAAAUGACCUGAAAAGAUGAUAGUUGAAUAGAGCAAAGUCAGGAGAGUAAGGAAGAUGAGGCAAAACUAUCAUAUUUAGUACCAUAAUCUUUUCCAGUGUGACUUUAGCAAUAUGUGGUCUUACAUUAUCAUGAAAAAAUAACAUCCCUUUACAGUUGACCAGUGAUGGGCACUUCUGCAUAUUUUUCUGAAAUGUUUCCACCUGAUAACAAUAAUUCUUUGCAUCAACUAUUCUGUUUUGGUUUAUAUUUCAUGAUAGAUGAAAUGCAUCUUAUCCCACCAAACACUGAGUAUAACUUUUCCCGAGUAUAGCCCUGGUUUUCCCAGGUGUGGUCCUUAUUUAUUGAUUGCUAACCAUUCUCAUUUUGAAAAGUUUGGUAACAAGUCUACUCUUCAAUGACAAGCAAAGGGCAACUUUCUGCUUAAGCUGAGAACCACUCAGAUGAUGGGGAAUGAAUUGAACUGUUUUGCAGUUUGCUUUGGAUUUUCUUCAAUUACAGUUUUCAAAAACUCAAUAUUGACAGAACUUUGUCAUGGGAAAUCUAUAAAAUAAAAUUUCCCAAGUGAAACUGACCAAACAGUUGUUGGCAUAUCCAAAUACUUAAACUUUCAUUUCCAAAGACAGAGCAAGUACUUUUUGCUGCUUCCAUUGCUCAAGAACUCCCUUUGAAUUCCUACUGUUUACAGUGUAUGGCAUCAUUCUGAUCUAAACUCAAUUUAAAAGAGUGAAAGCAAUAUAAAUUUAACCACUAUGUAUAAAGUAAUCUGCAAAAAAAAGUUAAUAAUAGAAUGUAAAAAAUAAUGCUUAUCUAACUGUAUUUAAAAAGUACCCUCACAGUAAUCAUGUCAAUGAUGUCAGGACUUUCUCUUGAACCUAAUAUGAAUGGCGUAGUACUGUUCUGUAGAAUCAAGUCCAAGAAUGAAUGGCUUCCAUUCAUCAAAUGUGGGCCAUGAUGUUUUAUUGUGUCUCCAGCACUCAAGAGUUUGUCUUACUGGAUACAGAGCCCCUAUCUAUCUUGUAUUGGUUUUCAAUUCAGAGUGACCAGGACUAUAAGAUAGAUUUUCUUCAUUGUAACUUUACAGGUCACAUUUCUUCUGGAGUGAUUCAGUUUGUUGAUUACAAGUUUUCAUAAUUACAAGUAGACAUUUAGAGAUUAGUGGAGGAGAGAGAGUUGGAAAGCUAAAUAGAUGUAUAUAGGUAGAGAAGAUGAGCAAUCAAAGCAGUGAAAGGGGAGAGAGAAAGGGCAGAGUCAUUUGAACAAAUUCAGUAAUAGAGUGACAUCAAAAAUAAACAAAUAGAAUAAACUGACUGAUAAGGAAGGGGUUAUGGUGGGUGGACCCUCACUAAAUGUUUCAUUUUUUGUGUUGAAUAUAAAAUGUUUUUACUUACUAGCUAAUCAGCAGAUUUCCUUAAUUAAAAGGGAUUUAAAUGAAACCAAAACAGAAUUGAGAAUUUUAGAUUGGAAUAAGAUAGUGGUACAAGUAUAAAAAAAAAUACAAAAUAAAUUUAACCCUUUAGCAUUUAAUCUGGCCAUAUCCAACCAAAAUAUUCUUCCUGUAUUAUGUUCAAACUGGCCAGAUCCAGUUUUGCUCACCAAACCUACAAGAUAAUGCAUGAUUAAUUCAAAACAAUUUCAAUAAAUAAGCAUUACUUUUGACGGAAUAAUCUGAAUGCUAAAGGUAGGUUGAAAUAGGAAUAUAUUAAAACAGAUGAGCUGUAAUUAAAAAUAAAAACAAAUUUAACGACAGUAGGAAAAUUAAAAGAAUUAUUGAAGAAAGUUGAUGUGAGGUCAGCUCUUAUCCAGCAAUUUGAUUGCAUACAGAUUGUCAACUGAAUGAUUAUGUACCACAUACUAAUUUGUUUUUCUAGUUAUGAUGUUUUCACCUAGCUGAGGAAUGUACUAAACUCAAUUGAUGAAUCUGGGAACAGUGUGAUAAUGUAAACAGGUGACACACAUCACUCUCCAGUUUGUUUCUGUAAACUCAGAUUCUGGUAGUCUCCAUUGUGUGGGUGGGUAAGACAGUCCCUAUCAAAGAAUGACAUCUGGUGUUUCUUUGCACUUUUGGUAGGUAGAGUGCAUCCCAGUACAAUGUUGAACUAGUGAAACUGUUACAGUAAUUUCUGUAUGUAUUAUUUUGUAUUAUUUUCCUGUUUUGUGGGGCUGAUAGGGUGAGGAGUUUUUUUUUUUUUUUUUUUUUUUUGAGACAGUUGUAAUGUUCUGAGGUUUUGUACAUGUAUUUGAAGAUAAUGGUAUAGGAUGGAUGACAGUUGAAUUUUACUGUGGUAACUAAUCUUGCCUAUUUAUAGGCUGUCUUUCAUUUUUAGUAUUUUUGCUUUGUUGUGUAGGUGGUUUUUGUUGUGGACUCUAGUGUAUAACCUAUUAUGAUGUAUUCUGAUACGUAUGGAAGGGUCAGGUUCAGCUGGUCAGAAAAUCUAUCUACUGUCAACAUCCACUCUGAGCACUGAGGCUGAGAGAGCUACAGAAAAUAUCUAGAUUGCUGCAAUGGUGUCAACAAUGAUGAUGAAAAUGAAGGUUAACUGGUGUGGGUGCCUUCUGUCUAACACAUCUUUCUGCAACUCAUUACCUUGACUGAACUGCAAUCAUGGGUCAAGCAUAGGCCAUAAUUGGAUGUUUGACAUCUACAAUGUUACCAGGCACUCAUAGUAUUGUAUAAGCUGGACAAAGCUAAUUACAGGCAAACAACUCAAUAUUUCUAUAGAAGUAGUUGAAGGUGACUUUGGGCAUUAAUGAGAACAGUUUGAGUGCUCUUUUCUGGAGUAUAUUCAGGCUGGAGACUAUAGAUAACUUCCAAAAGUCCUUGACAUGGUAGUGCUACAGGGGAUUUUAUCUGUUUGAGAAAAGCUCUUCAGGCAUGAAAAUGUCAACAACCAAAUCUCUCUAUGCAUACAGGGGAUGAAACCAUCAUUCAAGCAAUUAUUCUGUGUCUGUGCAUUAGUAAGCUGUGGACUUGUGUUGGUCAGAUACUGUUUCAUAUAAGACAAAUCUGGCUAUUAGCUGAGUGUAUAGUGAUAAUCAAUGCACCCACUUCUUUGGCAAACAAAGGAGGUAGUUCUUUCUCUGCUUAGUAGCUCUGGUGAAAGAGGCUGUGUGGUGGACCAGGAACGUUCCUCUUUGGCCAAGCCCACAACAAUUUCUUCAAGUAUCAUUUGAAGAGGAAGGUUAGAGUAGAGAGGGUGGUGUUGCUUUCUAGUUUGCUUAUCAAAAGGUAUAUGUGAGUGACAAGAUUGGUGAGGUUGAAUGAACCUACUUUAAGUAUGUUUUUCUAAGUAAGAGGAAAGAAACUGGAAGGGAGUACUUCUGAUUCUUGGAGACAGCCCGGUAAUCCAGGACUUUUUACAUAGGCUUUUCCCCAAAAUUACCCAAGGUAGACAGCUCUACUAUUAGGGAUUUUAUAUAUUUAUUGAACAAAGUUCCAUGCAGUUUUUCUUCUGGCCUUUUGCAUCCUGAAUUCAACUUCCACCAAGGUGAAUUUUCUCAUCCUCAAUCAAAUACUGAGGCUGAUAGUAUUGACUACCCACAACCAAAAAAAAAUUGCAGGCCAUGUGUCUAAAUCAGAAACCAUUAUUACAGCAGUAAGAUGGCAGAAUUUUUGGGUAUCAGGAAAAAAUACUUUGCAGCAUAAAGAACUAGAAUAACUCCAGUUCUUUAUGUUUUAUGUUCAAAACCCACUCAGAUCAACUUUACCAUUCUUCCCUGGGUUCUAUAAAACAAAGUACCAGCCAAGUACUGGGGUUCAUAUACUACACCCUUUCCCUCAAAAUUGCCAUCUUUUUGCUUAAAUCAGAAAUAAAUUAUUAUUUCAUUACACAGUAUGGAUGUAAAAUGCUAGUUUUUGUUGGGUUUUUUUCUUCUUUAUUUCUGGAGCACUUACAUAUCUGUCUUGUUGUCCAACAAUUCCAGGUGGAAUGAUAGUUUUUAAGGGUUGACCCUAAUGUUCAAAAUGAUAACUGGUACAACACCCACUUUAGCUGCUGGGCUUCCCCACAUUCUUGAUUUUUUUAAUUUUAAGUUAUAUUUUGAGAUCUUUUCUACUUCCUUGUUUGCACUGUUUUUGUUUGAAAGUAUUGCAACAUCUUUUAUGACUGUUAUGAAUUAUAAUAUCCUAUGAUUAGUUCCUUUCUACAAUAGUAAAUAAUAGAUAAAAAUAUAGAUAUCUUAUUUUGUACUGAGUGCGAAAAUGCAGCAUAGUGUCAAAUGACAUUGAUAGAUGGAUACUGUCUUUAUUUAAUAUAAAACAGUACAUCUUAAUUGUUGGACAACCUUGAUUAACAGAUUAGACGGCAAGCAGAAAUAAAGUUUGAAUAAAAGCCUUCUGUGAACUGGUUUAUGACAAUGACCUAUUCCCUUUCUUCUAUGUCAUCUAUGGUAUCUGCUCUAUAGUGUCCAGUUGUUCUGUAAAUCUGGAUGUCAAAAUCCCAUUGAAUUUUUGAUUUACCAUAUUCUUUUGGAACAUUGGUCUAUGAUUUUACCUCUCAUCUGAAGUGUUGUAUCCAUAUUUUUUACACAGUGGGCAGUGUAAAUUGAGGCAAAACUUCCAACAUCACUUAUAUCCUUUCUGAGCUGACAUCAAUGGUAUCAAUAAUUCCCCUUCUCUCAAAAUGUCUGGUCUAGUGUUUAAAUUAGAAAUCAUUAUUUAACAGGGAGGUGGAUUGGCAGCAUCAUUAAAACAUCAAAUACCUUACAGUAUGUCUUCUAGCUCUUUACAUUCUGAGUUCAAAUCCUAACAAGCACCACUUUCCCAUUCAUCUCACCAGGUCAAUGAAACAAUGUUUCAGUCCAGUCAUCAUCAUCAUCAUCAAGAUCCCUUAACUGAUGCAACCAAUCGUUGGGAGGGUGACUUGAAAAUUGAAGACUGAUGAUGUCAUUCCAUCAGCAUGGGAACACUGGUUGCCUCAUUCAAAUUUUGGAUUUGAAUUUCUAUGUAUCAUGUUUCAUUUUGAACUUGACAAAGAUAGACUAGCUGUCAAAAUAUCGUUCAACCAAUAAAACAUUUAUUGCAAUCACA